AACGAACGCUGGCGGCAGGCCUAACACAUGCAAGUCGAGCGAGGACUUCGGUCCUAGCGGCGGACGGGUGAGUAACGCGUGGGAACGUGCCCUUUGCUUCGGAAUAGCCCUGGGAAACUGGGAGUAAUACCGGAUGAGCCCUUUGGGGGAAAGAUUUAUCGGCGAAGGAUCGGCCCGCGUUGGAUUAGGUAGUUGGUGGGGUAAUGGCCUACCAAGCCGACGAUCCAUAGCUGGUUUGAGAGGAUGAUCAGCCACACUGGGACUGAGACACGGCCCAGACUCCUACGGGAGGCAGCAGUGGGGAAUCUUAGACAAUGGGGGAAACCCUGAUCUAGCCAUGCCGCGUGAGCGAUGAAGGCCUUAGGGUUGUAAAGCUCUUUCAGCUGUGAAGAUAAUGACGGUACCAGCAGAAGAAGCCCCGGCUAACUCCGUG
rnacentral:rRNA from 1 species